rnacentral:misc_RNA from 1 species
UCUCCGUAGGUGAACCUGCGGAGGGAUCAUUAUCGGGUUCUGAAACUCCAAUCUCCUGCUGGAUCUCUUCGCCGGUCAUGUACACGCUUCUUCUCCCUUAUUUCUCCCACUGUCCACAAAUGAUUGUCCUUUCAGUCCGCAUAUGUUGUUUGUCACAAUCACGGAAUGUAAUAAAAUGGUUUACAAUGUAUGGAUUUGCAAUACAACUUUCAACAACGGAUCUCUUGGCUCUCGCCUCGAUGACGAACGCAGCUGAUCGUACGCGAACACGUCUGACGC